rnacentral:rRNA from 2 species
AGUGGCGCACGGGUGAGUAACACGUGGAUAAUCUGCCUGGCGAUUCGGGAUAACACUUCGAAAGGGGUGCUAAUACCGGAUAAGCCCACGGACUCUUAGGGGUUUGCGGGAAAAGGGGGCCUCUGUAUAUGCUCCUGUCGCUAGAUGAGUCCGCGGCUCAUUAGCUAGUUGGUAGGGUAAUGGCCUACCAAGGCGACGAUGGGUAGCUGGUCUGAGAGGAUGAUCAGCCMCACUGGAACUGAGACACGGUCCAGACUCCUACGGGAGGCAGCAGUGGGGAAUUUUGCGCAAUGGGCGAAAGCCUGACGCAGCAACGCCGCGUGAGUGAUGAAGGCCUUCGGGUCGUAAAGCUCUGUCAGUGGGGAAGAACCGCCGGGUGGUUAAUACCUGCCUGGUCUGACGGUACCCACAAAGGAAGCACCGGCUAACUCCGUGCCAGCAGCCGCGGUAAUAC